rnacentral:rRNA from 1 species
CACACCGCCCGUCACACCAUGGGGGUGGAUUGUUCCGGAAAUCGGUGAGCUAACCUUCGGGAGGCAGCCGCUUAUGGAAUGCUUCAUGACUGGGGUG